rnacentral:rRNA from 1 species
UACGUAGGGUGCAAGCGUUGUCCGGAAUUAUUGGGCGUAAAGAGCUCGUAGGCGGUCUGUCGCGUCGGAUGUGAAAAUCCAGGGCUCAACCCUGGACCUGCAUUCGAUACGGGCAGACUAGAGUUCGGCAGGGGAGACUGGAAUUCCUGGUGUAGCGGUGAAAUGCGCAGAUAUCAGGAGGAACACCGGUGGCGAAGGCGCCGCUCUGGGCCGUAACUGACGCUGAGGAGCGAAAGCAUGGGUAGCAAACAGG